rnacentral:rRNA from 1 species
AUUGAACGCUGGCGGCAUGCUUUACACAUGCAAGUCGAACGGUAACAGGGAGCUUGCUCCGCUGACGAGUGGCGAACGGGUGAGUAAUGCGUCGGAACGUGCCGAGUAGUGGGGGAUAACGCAUCGAAAGGUGUGCUAAUACCGCAUACGUACUGAGGUAGAAAGUGGGGGACCUUCGGGCCUCACGCUAUUCGAGCGGCCGACGUCGGAUUAGCUAGUUGGUGAGGUAAAGGCUCACCAAGGCGACGAUCAGUAGCGGGUCUGAGAGGAUGGUCCGCCACACUGGGACUGAGACACGGCCCAGACUCCUACGGGAGGCAGCAGUGGGGAAUUUUGGACAAUGGGCGCAAGCCUGAUCCAGCCAUGCCGCGUGUCUGAAGAAGGCCUUCGGGUUGUAAAGGACUUUUGUCCGGGAGCAAAUGCUGGUGGCUAACAUCCACCGGAGCUGAGAGUACCGGAAGAAUAAGCACCGGCUAACUACGUGCCAGCCGCCACCGUAACAC